rnacentral:tRNA from 1 species
UCCCUGGUAGUCCAGUAGUUAAGAUUCUGUGCUCUCAAUACAGGGGUCCAGGGUUCGAUCCCUGGUCAGGGAA